rnacentral:rRNA from 1 species
AACGAACGCUGGCGGCGUGCCUAACACAUGCAAGUCGCACGGAAUUAGAGAGCUUGCUCUUUAAUUUAGUGGCGCACGGGUGAGUAACGCGUAGAUAAUCUGCCCGACGAUCCGGGAUAACCGUUCGAAAGGACUGCUAAUACCGGAUAAGCCCACGGGUUCUUUGGAAUCUGCGGGAAAAGGGGGGGACCUUCGGGCCUUCUGUCGUCGGAUGAGUCUGCGUACCAUUAGCUAGUUGGUAGGGUAAAGGCCUACCAAGGCUACGAUGGUUAACUGGUCUGGGAGGAAAACCAGGCAAACUGGAAGUGUGCCACGGUCCAGACUCCUACGGGAGGCAGCAGUGGGGAAUUUUGCGCAAUGGGCGAAAGCCUGACGCAGCAACGCCGGGUGAGUGAUGAAGGCUUUCGGGUCGUAAAGCUCUGUCAGAGGGAAAGAAGUGUAUUGUGGCUAAUAUCCGCGAUACUUGACGGUACCCUCAAAGGAAGCACCGGCUAACUCCGUGCCAGCCGCGGCAGUAACAC